rnacentral:rRNA from 1 species
UACGUAGGGUGCGGCGUUAAUCGGAAUUACUGGGCGUAAAGCGUGCGCAGGCGGUUCGUUAAGUUCGUUGUGAAAGCCCCGGGCUCAACCUGGGAACUGCAAUGGAAACUGGCGGCUUGAGUGUGGCAGAGGGGGUGGAAUUCCGGCGUGUAGCAGUGAAAUGCGUAGAGAUGCGGAGGAACACCGAUGGCGAAGGCAGCCCCCUGGGCCAACACUGACGCUCAGGCACGAAAGCGUGGGGAGCAAACAGG